GAGUAUUCAAAGGCAGACAAUGGUUAAACCUUCUAGCAUCCACCUUCAGGCUGUAUGAAGCUUUGCAGUGCCUGCAGCAUCCCUCCCCACGUAUGAGAAAGCAUGGAGCAGAGCUUGACAGGUUUGGGAGAAAAACAGUGAGGAUGAUGAAAGGGAUGGGAGCGUUUCCAUAUACAGAAUGGUCAGGCUGGCCAUGGGCAACGCUCUCCAUUCUUGGAUUCCUGUACUGCUACUCUCACGUCGGAAUUGAAUGGGAGCAUACGUACGCAGUGAACUGAAAAUGACACAGAGCUGGCUCCCCCACAUCUCCGCAUCCUGCCUCCAGGCCAACCAUUUCAUCGGUUCCCAGCGCUGCGUGGCAAACAUGGUACCUGGCAUAGCUGGGCCUGCUGUGGCAAACACUGUCCUACACGCGGGCUGCCUCCCGAGUGAGCCAAGCAAUGGUCCAGCCCCACAUCUCACCUGCUUGGGCCUCCAGCACAGGCAGRGCUGUAGCGUAAGUAGGUAAGUAACUGUCCUUUAGUACCGUGCCCACACACAGCCUUACCAAUGGGCC
rnacentral:lncRNA from 1 species